AUUUCUCUCGUGACAAAUGCUAACCCGCGAUAACAGGUGAACCUGCGGAAGGAUCAUUACUGGGCAACCGAGCGCCCCGGCGCUUACCCCCACCCUCCGCCCGCAGUUCCACCCUCGGCGUGAGGCGGGGCCCCCCUGGGGCCCCGCUGGCCGACAUUAAAACACUGAGCAACCGUGCCGCCUGAAGUGACAAGCAAAUAGUCAAAACUUUCAACAACGGAUCUCUUGGUUCU
rnacentral:misc_RNA from 1 species